CAGGCGUCGCGGUGCCACGUGUGCGUUGUCCGCGCGACGUACUAUCGGCGCGCGCCGUGAACCACCGGUUUAACUCGCGCUCUGUCGCGAGCUGCAAAGACUCUGCGUGAAAACGUCGACGUCAAAGGAACGGUGACUGAAUGAAUGAUGCCGAGUAGAGACGAAAGGACUGGGAUCCUGGAUCCUUGAGAAUCUCUUGUCUCUUGUCACCUUCUACGUCUUUCUCCCUUUUCUCCUCGCGGCUUGAUCCCCAUUGGACAGCUUGCUCGUGAUCGCCACGUGGUCGUGUUUCCGCGAUCGAUCAGCGCCCCGGUUGCAUCCUCUAACAGGCUCGAGAAAGAACGUGCUGCACGCAAUUCCCGCGAACGAGAUUAAGGAGAGAGAGAGAGAGAGAGAAAUUGAGAGGGACGGACAAAGGUAGAGGGAGGGAGAAAAAGAGAGAGAGAGGUAGAGAGGGAGGGAGAGGAUCACUCGGAUCACUGGUGCUGCUAGGAAAACGUCCUGCCAGCCAGAUUUCAGAGUACAGCGUCCGGUUGGCGGGAGGAAGAAGGAAAACCCCACACAGAGAGGGAGAGAAAAAAGAGGGAGAAAGUGAGGGCGAAAGAGGGUCCACGUCAAAGAUUGAACCGUUGCUCCUCGGUCUACCGACUCGACGUUGCUGACCUAUGACGCGGCACUUCACGGAGAUCUUUUGUGGAUUACUGAUGAACACUGCGAACCCUUUUGGGAAUAAUAAG